rnacentral:lncRNA from 11 species
AGGAGGGGAAGAGGUUGGCGGAAAAAGGGAGAACGCCUCAAACUGGUUCCAGGAUUUCCUAUGUAAUAAUCUGAACUGUGAAACUUUCUUCCAAUACCGGUUUGAAACUACAUUGAAUGCGCUUUCUGGAGGUCUGCAACUCUUGAUCCAUGCUUGAAACCAACAAAUAACAGCUUCUCGAAUUUCCCACCAUCGAGCAAAUCAAUCACUGAAGCCACUGCAUGGAGCUCACGACCAACAAGAGCCUAAAUCCUAGCCAGCUCCAAUUUCCUCCAAUCAGAGGCUAGAGAGGUCAUUCUAAAUUGCUGUCAAAGUAAGUAAGUAAGUGAGCAACCAAUAAGUAAUUAUUGGUGUAGCAUAGCACACCGAGC